rnacentral:rRNA from 1 species
ACGAACGCUGACGGCAGGCCUAACACAUGCAAGUCGAACGCUGUAGCAAUACAGAGUGGCAGACGGGUGAGUAACACGUGGGAACGUGCCUUUUGGUUCGGAAUAACUCAGGGAAACUUGUUCUAAUACCGAAUGUGCCCUUCGGGGGAAAGAUUUAUCGCCAUUAGAGCGGCCCGCGUCUGAUUAGCUAGUUGGUGGGGUAAAGGUCCACCAAGGCUACGAUCAGUAGCUGGUCUGAGAGGAUGACCAGCCACAUUGGGACUGAGACACGGCCCAAACUCCUACGGGAGGCAGCAGUGGGGAAUCUUGCGCAAUGGGCGAAAGCCUGACGCAGCCAUGCCGCGUGUAUGAUGAAGGUCUUAGGAUUGUAAAAUACUUUCACCGGUGAAGAUAAUGACUGUAGCCGGAGAAGAAGCCCCGGCUAACUUCGU